UACGGGGGGAGCAAGCGUUGUUCGGAUUUACUGGGCGUAAAGGGCGCGUAGGCGGCCACUGCAAGUCGGUUGUGAAAUCUCCGGGCUUAACCCGGAAAGGUCAAUCGAUACUGCAGGGCUAGAGUGCAGAAGGGGCAACUGGAAUUCUCGGUGUAGCGGUGAAAUGCGUAGAUAUCUGGAGGAACACCGGUGGCGAAGGCGGCAUCCUGGACCAUUACUGACGCUGAGGAGCGAAAGCCAGGGGAGCAAACGGG
rnacentral:rRNA from 1 species